UCAGAUCAGGGGGGCCGUUCCUCCCAAUCACGCCCCUCCAGGUGUCACUGUCGUUUCCCACGUGGGCGUUGAAGUCCCCCAGUAGAACAAUAGAGUCCCCAGUCGGAGCACUUUCCAGCACCCCUCCCAGAGACUCCAAGAAGGUCGGGUACUCUGCACUGCCGUUCGGCCCGUAGGCACAAACUACAGUGAGAGACCUAUCCCCGACCCGUAGGCGCAGGGAAACGACCCUCUCGUUCACCGGGGUAAACUCCAACACAUGGCGGCAGAGCUGGGGAGCUAUAAGCAAACCCACACCAGCCCGCCGCCUCUCACCAUGGGCAACUCCAGAGUGGUGAAGAGUCCAUCCUCUCUCAAGGAGUGUGGUUCCAGAGCCCAAGUGAUCCCGACUACCUCUAAUCGGAACCUCUCAACCUCACGCACUAACUCGGGCUCCUUCCCCGCCAGCGAGGUGACAUUCCACGUCCCUAGAGCUAGUUUCCGUGUCCAGAGAUCGGGUUGUCUAGGCCCCUGCCUUCGACUGCCGCCCGAUCCUCUUCGCACCGGCCCCUUAUGGUCCCUCCUGUGGGUGGUGAGCCCACGGGAGGGCGGCCCCACGUCGCCCGUUCGGGCUGAGCCCGGCCGGGCCCCAUGGGGGAAGGCCCGGCCACCAGGCUCUCGCAUACGAGCCCCAACCCCGGGCCUGGCUCCAGGGUGGGGCCCCGGCUGCGCCAUACCGGGCGACGUCACGGUACUCAUAAUUUUAUUCAUCAUUAAGGGGGGUUUGAACCCCCCUUAAGUUUUACAUUUAAGUCCAAUUCAUUAAAUGUAUGCAAUUACUUCAAACAUAUUUUUACGUCAAUGAUUAUAAAUGGGAGAAAGUCAUCGCUUUGUUAUUGGCCCUUGGACGCCCCUGGCAUCUCGUGUACAGCAUAAAGUUUUCAGCUAUGAAGGUAUAUUCUAGUCCUAUGUCUUAUUGUCCAGUGUUUUAACAGUAUUGAAAAUAUUGCCUUUAGUAGUUUUUUUUGUUUUUUUAUGUAGAUUUCCAGUGACUCCAGAAUGAAAACCAAGCUCUGAGGGAGGAGAACCAAGCCCUGAGGGAAUGCAAUGCACAAGCAGCUUCGGAAGACAGCGGCUCACUUCAAGAGCAGGUGAAGCAAGUAGGGACAAUGUUGAAGACGUUUGCUCUCACUGGGCAAUCAGGUGCGUUACCUGAAAGGAGCAUCUGACCGUGAAGGCAGAAAAAGCCCCACAGCUGAGAAGGACCCACAGCCGACCCCUUAAACCUUGGCUGACUACUGACACCCCAGCAUCACUGAACUGGAACACUUUCUUUAUCCUGCAGUCAGUAACAUCAAGAAGCCUUAAGUGCCAGACUACACUCACCAAAUCCACCCUGUUUUUUAUUUUUUAUUUUAACUUUAGUAUUGGCUUAUUUCAUUCCGUCAGUGCUUAACGAUUCUAUUAUAGUUUGUAAAUCCUAUUUCAUACCUGUUACUUGAUAUUGCACAUUAACUAGUACCAAAAUUCUACUUUCAUUUAAACAGUGUGCUUAACUGUUAUUCUAUUAAUAAUAGCUUGGAAAUACUAUUUCGUACCUCUGAUACUUGAUAUUGCACAUUACCUGGUACCAAAUAUUCUACUUACUCUGUUUUUAACAUCAGCAUUUUUCAUUCCAUCACAGUGCUUAACUGUUAUUCUGUUGUUAAAUAUAGCUUGUAAAUCCUUGUGCCACAGGUCAGCAUUGCAGUUAUAAUGGUCUGUUCUACCACUGUUUUUACCUCCGUAUUUUUAUAUAAAUAUAUAUGUCAAGUUUUGUUUAUCACAGAUACAAGAGACAGAUCUUAAUGCUGCACGGUGUAAAUCUUGUGCUCCAGGUCAGCAAUGCCAUUAUAACGGUCUAUUCUACUCUAGAGC
ensembl:lncRNA